UAACCUGCCCAAGAGAUCGGGAUAACACCUGGAAACAGAUGCUAAUACCGGAUAACAACAGAUGAUGCCUAUCAACUGUUUAAAAGAUGGUUCUGCUAUCACUCUUGGAUGGACCUGCGGUGCAUUAGCUAGUUGGUAGGGUAACGGCCUACCAAGGCGAUGAUGCAUAGCCGAGUUGAGAGACUGAUCGGCCACAUUGGGACUGAGACACGGCCCAAACUCCUACGGGAGGGCAGCAGCCA
rnacentral:rRNA from 1 species